rnacentral:rRNA from 1 species
AUUGAACGCUAGCGGGAUGCCUUACACAUGCAAGUCGAACGGAGUGGCGAACGGGUGAGUAAUGUAUCGGAACGUGCCCAGUAGCGGGGGAUAACUACGCGAAAGCGUAGCUAAUACCGCAUACUAUUGGAGCGGCCGAUAUCGGAUUAGCAGGUUGGGGGGGUAACGGCUCACCAAGGCGACGACCCGUAGCUGGUUUGAGAGGACGACCAGCCACACUGGGACUGAGACACCGCCCAGACUCCUGCAGGCGGCAGCAGUGGGGAAGUUUGGACAAUGGGGGAAACCCUGAUCCAGCCAUCCCGCGUGUGCGAGGAAGGCCGUCGGGUUGUAAAGCACAUUUGGAAGGAAAGCGGUACCUGCAGAAUAAGCACCGGCUAACUACGGGCCAGCAGCCGCGGUAAUAG